GUUGGGGGCGGCUGGGCCUGGCGGCGCCUAGCUCCGUGCCCGAGCCCCCCGCGCGCUGCGUCCAGCGCGCGCCCUCCAGCCGAGACUCCGCGUCCCGCGGCACUGGCUGGCCUGGCGCGAGCCCCAGUGCGGCUCCUUCUUCCUCAUGGGCCGACCCUGCCGGGCUCGCGCCUCUCGCAGCCCUGCCGCGCUGUGAGCGCUCGGCCCGUCAGGCGGCCCCUUCCCCCCCCGCAGACCCCCGCGUGUCGGGGCCGAACCCCCCGGUUGUCUCCUGCAGGAGCCCGGUUGGGUCGCAGCGGCGUGACUGGGGGGCGGGGGGAGCCGCUGCUGUUCCUGUGACUCGGUCGCGGGUCCGCGUGGAGUUGCCACGAGCGAGUGAGGAUUUUGAUGUAGGCAGACAAUGCCCAUUGAUGUGCUUUGCCUAGUUGACAAAUACCACUUUACAAGAAGUUGAUAUGACAGUUCUUGAAUGUGGAGAAAAUUAGUCUGAAUGAAUAGAAGACUACAGUUUCUGUACAUAUGGCCUGUAUACUAUGUAAAGAUUUGUACAGAAUUUCUACAGCUCAAGUUUGGCAGCUUUUCUUCCACCAGAAGAAUGUUCUGGAAGAAAUAUACAGGUAGAUGAGUUUUUAAAAGAUGGAAUUUGGAAAUCUGUAAAUCAUGGUAACAUAUUACUGGUAUGUUCACAAGAAGAUUCAAAUAGCUUUUAACUAUAUGUGGCAGUGGUGGGGGAAUGGUCUUGGGUACUAAAAAAUAAAGACUAUAUAUUUAUUUUUAA